rnacentral:rRNA from 1 species
CCUACGGGAGGCAGCAGUGAGGAAUAUUGGUCAAUGGACGAGAGUCUGAACCAGCCAAGUAGCGUGAAGGAUGACUGCCCUAUGGGUUGUAAACUUCUUUUAUAUGGGAAUAAAACGUUCCACGUGUGGGAUUUUGUAUGUACCAUAUGAAUAAGGAUCGGCUAACUCCGUGCCAGCAGCCGCGGUAAUACGGAGGGUCCGAGCGUUAUCCGGAUUUAUUGGGUGUAAAGGGCGCGUAGGGGGAUUGUUAAGUCAGUUGUGAAAGUUUGGGGCUCAACCGGAGAACUGCAGUUGAAACUGGCAGGCUGGAGGACAGUAGAGGGGGGUGGAAUUCGAGGUGUAGCGGUGAAAUGCGUAGAUAUCAGGAAGAACACCGGUGGCGAAGGCGGU